UCCAACAUUCAGCCCACUAACAAGAUCCCAGGGACCUAUAUUCACGCUUGUGUGGAUUCCACCUUCCAGUCAAAACCCUCUUUCAUUGAAAUGCAGCAUCUGCAUGGCCUGAACGGCCUGGAAGACGAAGGCCCAACCCCCAGGUCUUGGUAACACGCUGCUAUCACGUUGCCACCAUAUGCUGUUACCAGCUGACAUCUGCUGACACAUGUUCUCACCAAUAAGCAACCAUGUUGUUUAUUUUUAGAGCCCUCUCCACAGCCUCACAGAGAGAAAGUUCCCUCACAUCACCCGUCAGCAAAGACAGGAAGCUACAGACUGGGUAUAAACUGUUUGUCACAAGAUCAGCAAGGCACACAACAUCUUCUCUUUCAGAUCUGACCUCUAAAAAGAGGUGCUGAAAGUUAUCUUCAAUAAAAAUCUCAAGGAAGGGAACCAGAGACAGGCAGGGUACGCAAAGCAUCGCUUGGUUAGCAAUGCUUUCUCUUCUGACUAGGGACCUGUGCAUUUCUUGGGGGGAUUUCACUCCUUUUCCUGGGAAACAGCACCUUCUUCAGGCCAGUGGGUGUUGUGGUGCCAAAGAGGGAUGCUUCUAUUACCGGAAUCCAGAUCCCUGCAAUCGCCCCAGGUCACCGGGGUCAAACGAAGUCUGUGGGGAAACAAGGCAAGCUAACUGUCGUCAUUUGUCGUUUCAAACUUGCAGCCCUCAGUGGAAUUCUUCUGAAAUAUUCCUAUCUACAAGACAAACCAGCACCUGCCACCUAAUUCCAUGGAGGAGAAAAGCAAAAGUUGAGUAGGUGAAACAGCCUUCGCUCAGGAGUGGGUUGGUUCACAGAUGUGACCAGUGAACUCUACUAACACGCUUAACGACCUAAGGUUUGAUAUUCCGGGGAGGUACAAAUGAAUGACUAAGUCACUCUUCAGAUCAAAAUGACUGUGUAAUAGACAUAUCUCAGGGUGAGAACUGCUGCCUUAGAACCUGAGGUGACAGCCAUAAUCCUCCUUUGGUUCUGCCCGGCUACUUCGGGGUAAAAGCUCCUACCUCUGUUUCUCUCUUCUUAACUUCCAGAGCCCCAGAUGCUAAGGUGUGAACUUGGAUGUAGAAACACUUCCCCAGCCGAAAACCCUGACAGACCUCCAAGUGGGCAGUUCCUUUACCAAAUCAUCCAUCUUCUACAAAGAAAUGUCCUCAGUCUGUGAUUUUCCUUUUAUUUUCUCCUUCUAAAGUCGAAUCAGAAUAAGUCACCCACCUUCCCCCCGGCCGCCAGCCCCCAUUUUGGCCUUUCUCAGCCAGCAACUGAGUUAUGAGUUUAUUAUAAAGCAAGAAGAAACAACUUCAAUGGCGUGGUCAUUAAGUUGUCAAAGCAGAGGGAAAAUGAGAUUAAGUCAAUGGAUAGGGAAAUAAAUGACCCUAUAAGAAUAAAACCCCCCAGUGGAAGGAAUGACAAAGUGACCGCUACAUGUGGUCUAGAGAGAAUAAUCCCUGAUGAAUUUGGUCUAAGAAGUGUUGAAUUGCCAAUACUGAAAUGACUCCAAAACUUAAAAAUUAAAUUUCCCAGAAAAUUCCCAUUUAUGGGCAAUAAUAUAUUUUAGCGCUCUUAAAAUGCAUGAAAAAAUAUGGUCUUCUCUUUUAGAUAGUGCUUCCCCUGAGAUCUGCAAAGACCAGUGGACUUCUGAUCGUUUCAAUGUCUUUCUCAAAACUGAACUGUGCAUUCUCGUUCACGAGCUGAAGUAACAAAUAAGGAUUCUUACAACAGCCUGAAGUUAUGAAUGAGCAGUUAUUUGUGAACUAGCUUGUCAAGACAGAUGUGGUAUUUGUCAGUGUGGUGUGGGUUAGAUAGCAAAAGCCAAAUGAACGGAGCGCCAAGGUCAAAGUCACAACAUUUUUCUUUUUCUUCCUUGAGGCUGGAAAGAUGCUACAGCACUUCCUGAAACAAACAUCUCCAAAAAAGCAGCCUGACUCUCCAACAGCUGCCCCAUGACUCUCCUUUCAGAAACACCACGUCUCUCCCUCAGGAACGUCCUGCUUCCUAAUUACUGACAUGGAGGCCGCGAGGAAGGCCCGAAGGGAGAGUGACAGUCUCUCUGUGGACAGAGAUGUGUGCAACAUGCCAGUGUGAGAGCAAACAGCUGCCUGGGGAGGUUGGAAAUGCAUUUGAACUAUUUUCAGAAGGUCUGGGCUUUGUAACAUCCAGAAAGCAUUUUCCAUUUGCUUUCAGUUCCUCAAGUUGUUGUGAUUAAAGGAACAUCUAAGCCCCACAUUUUUGACUUAUCAGGCAGAACCAAAUCCAAGGGCUCAUUUUUGAGAAUGAAGGGAUGGGGGCUGGUCCACACAGAAGAGCUUUCUGGGCACCAUCAGGCUUUCCCUCCUUCUCACAGACGCUAAAUCCAGUAAACUCGAUUCCUCUUGGAUGGCAACGUCUUCUCAUACCAACGAAGUGGUUUUACUCGGUCGCCCCAGGAAAGCCAGGAUGCUACCCCACGCGGAGAGCAUUUUGCUCUGUUAACAGCUACCCUGGGCCUAGUACGGCCUCUCCUCUCUGACAUCACCUCCUAAGUUUUCGUUUCCUCCUCAAACCCUUGGUGGUGUAUCCUCCACUACCCUCUCCCCUUCCUCCCAUCCAUCCACCUCUGGGAGACUUCCACCCCCUAAUGGCAUUUUGCUGCUAAAGUCUGUUUUUAAAUGAGUCGCCUGACAGCGAAGAAACUGCUGUGGCUGGUGUCUGGUCAUGGAGAUGCAGGGAGGUCCAAACGUCCUGGCUUCCUUCUCAACAGAGCCUCUCCCCAGGGGAGCGGGUGAGACAGGGGGCCUGGGAGGAGGGGCCGCGCCAGCCCCGAGGCACGUUGCCCACAAGGCCCUUCUGCAUGUUAGCCUCUUCUGAGCAAUACCCUCCCCCCAUCCUUUGUUGGAUUUCAGCCUUUAAGGCCCAGAAAGAUAAAGAGGUGAGUGCUACGUGACUCACACGUGUACUCAGAGAGAUCCGUUAAAAUCACUUUAAACAUUUUUUUCCCUGGAAACGUAAAGGCCCUUUUUAACAACUGGUAACAUCCUGAGAUGUCAAAAAAAAAAAAAAAAUCUAAACUGGAUAUUAACGCACUGAGUAUAUGCACAGCAAGACACUCCAGCUGGGAGGAAUCCAUGAUGCGGACCUCCUGCUUCGGGUGCCAGAGGUGCGACGACCAGUCGGAGGCUCUUAAAGUUUACUAAAUAGAAACGUUUUCUGAGGGCAGAUAUCACGCUCCCACUUAAUUUUAUUUGCCACGUGCUUCUAGGACAUAGCACUCUGCUACACGCACACGGACCGCUAUUCUCCCAAUCCACAAAUAUUUAUGUGACUUCACUGACUUUACAUAUUUUCAUCCCUCUAAAAUCCUGACGCCCUCUUAGAAUCAAUGGCACGUUACAAUUAAUUGGCAAUGACAUUUCUUGUUAAGUGGCAGAUGAAAAAUGGUGCACUGUAAAAUCAAUAGCGUUUGAGAUUCAGUGAAUGACAGCUGCCGGGUAAGGCAAGCCUAUGACGUGCCAGAAGCAGCUGCACUCGGCCUUUCUUCGCACAUCAUCAUCCAUCGUCUACAACCCUAGGGGGCAGAUAUCAUCUUCUUCAUCGUUACAAGUGAACACACUGAGAUCAGCUUAAGUGCAGGGGCUUCGGCCUGGUCACCAAGCCAGCGACGGCAGAGUGAGAUCUGAAUUCAGCAGGAAGCAACUUAAAUGUCAACGCGGCAGAUUUCUUUUCUUUCUUUUUUUUUUUUUUUAACGAGGCAGAUUUAAUAACUUGCACGGAGACAGCCAAGUUGCUAACCCAAACAAGACCACAUUUUAACAACUGCCAUUGGCCUGGAGUAGGACUUCUUGUCUUUGAUGCUUCCCCUUCCCUUUCAGCCUCUGAGAUUCCUCUGGUACAAUUCCCUUUUAUUUAUUCUCUUUCUUUGACUUCUUGGCGCUGUCUGGCUCUCAAGUCUGUGCUCACUGCGCAAGACCAUCCUGCCUUCCUCAAUAAAUUAAUUUUCUGCGAGAGACAAGACGAAUCACCUCUCAAUCAAAUUUAUAAAAAUUGGAAGAAAACGGUUGCAGUUCAAGAUCAAGACCAGGAGACCUGAGAAAUCACAAUUUUUGUAUCAACCAAGUGCAGAGAUAAAAGUGGAAGAAUGUGUUAGAGGCGAGAAGAGAGACCCAGGGUGGUAGGAGAGGCUUCAGAAGUAUAUUUCCUUCUGGAGGGAAAGAAUGCAGAGCUUCUAUGAAUGUAAUUCCUGCCAGGUGAGGAGAGCCACCACCCUUUCAUGCAGGGACUGUAUCAUUUUGCAAGAGGGCAGGAAAAGUCAUGCUCUCCAUUUCCUGGUCUCUAUUUGGGGCCUCUAUUACUUGUGGUACCUAAAAGUCUGACUUCCAGUAAGACAUCGCUGAUAGAAAUAGUUAUAGCCAUGUCCUCAUACGUCACAGGGAAAAAUACCAGUCCGGACCGUAUAGGGUCACUUUUGCGUGUGAAAUAAGUGCGCGCAUGUAAAAUAUUUAAAACUCUGCUUGGCACGUAGUAUGUACCCGAUGAGGGUUAGCUUUCAUCAUCCUCAUUAUCGCCAUCAUUUUCAUUUUUAUCUGCAAAACUGGAAACAGGAAAUGAAUGGUUCUGAGAAGCCCGUGUUGCCUUCAGCACAGGGACAAGAUCCAUCAGGAACAUUGUCCCCGGUAACGGAGGUGAGUAGAUUUCUGUCUCCAUAUCUCCUGGCCCUAAUGCUUUGAACUCUUGAUCCUUCUGGUAACUCAAUCUUAGUCUCUAAAGGGAAACGCUCAUUCCUUUAUUAAGCAUUGACUGAGCAACAAUCACGCGCUGUAAGAACAUAGAUAAGUCAGGGUGGGCUCCUGUUCUGAGGCAGUUUACAAACCGAUGAAGAGGACAGGUCAGGACACAGCUAGAUUUUACCUACAGCAAAAGAAAAGAGGCUGAGAUAGAGAUGAAUGUCGGUAUUGUGGGAGUGCAGAGGAAGAGCUACUUAAAUAGGACAAAGAACAUCAACAAAGGUUUCAUAAGGAGAUGGUACUGACUAAACCUCGAAGGACAUGUAAAGGUGUUAAAAGAUGGACCUCUAAGUGGAAGAAAUGACAUAAACAAAGGGCUGGAGGCACAGAAAUAAAGGGCCCAUUUGGGUAAAGGCAAAGAGGGUGAUCUGGCUGGAGUGUAGUUUCCUUGGGGGGAUUUAGUUGGGGGGCUGCUGAGCAAGGAGGAGGGGCCUGACCCUGAAAGGUCUUGGAUAUUAUCUAAGACAUCUGAGAUCCUACCUACGAAGCCUAAAUUCUCAAGGCCUCCCUAUAUGAGGAUUAGAGAGUGCCGGGCAUGCUGGAUUACCAGCCCUGCCAGUCUCUGUUCUCUUAGGUGGCAAAGGUCACCUAAGGACCAAUCCGGGUGAGCCAGGGAAACAGAUCCACUGAGUGGAGCUUACUAGGAAAUGAAUGAGAUGUUGGUCCCGAGACAUCCGGGGCUGGUGGGAGCGGUCCCCAGAGCAUCACUUUUAAUCAUAUUGGAAUAUCUCUAAAAUAUCUCCUUUUCAUAUCUCAUAAUCAAUGGCACGUUAUAGUCAAUUGUCAGUGAUAUUUUUUUCUCUGCGGCACAUAAAAUAACAGGGCACCUUAAAAUCAAUGGUGUCUGAGAAUCAAUGAUUAAUAGCUGGCAUGCAAAGAAGGUCUACUAAGUGCCAGAAGCAGAGCUCAGGACUUCUUUACACAGGUCAUGGUCAGUCCUUUGCAACCCUAGGAAGCCAGCAUCUCCUUCAUCUUUACAAGUGAAGGCACGGAGCCAUGGUUGAAUGAAGUUCACCACCCUACACACAGAUAUUCCAGAAGAGAGAAGAACAAGAAGGCAAUUUAGAGCCUGUGGGGAAGUGGUCAAGGGGGAGUGCUGAUGCAGAGUCAAGGCCACCAAGCCAAUCCGGAAGCAAGGUGGUGGUCACAGUGCAGCAGAGUUCUAACCUAUCAGAGGUUAGAAAAGAAAACAAAACCAAUGACAACCACCAAAACCCACUUGUGACUGCAGCAUGAGGCGAAUUUCUCCUAAACACAGGAUGGAAACAAGCUUUUCAGUCUACACAAACCCAUCAGAGAAUCCCUAGCAUGUGAUUAAAUUGAAACUACCUGGGGAACACUGAAUUCCUAGGUUAAAAAGUAUCUUUGUUUAAAAAAAUAUUAAAAAUCCAAAGCACACCAUAUGGUUUCAAAAUGACAAUGGAAACGUUUGUUUAUCUCAGCCUGAGGCACAUUUCAUCAAGCUGUUCAGAAUCUGCAAAGUGGAUCCACCCUUCGGCAGUCGGGCUGCCUAAGGAGAUCGAGCACAUCUGGCAAAUCCACAUCCUCUCUCCAGGAUCCCCCAGGACCGGAAAUGCUACAUCAAGAGAGCUGACAGGGCUGUUUCCAGAGCUCUUCCCUGCAGGCUCUUUGCUCCCGGCUCACCUUAAUACUGAACCUGUAAAGGGCUGGGGGUGGCGGCGGGGAGGGAGGAGUCCCCCCAGAAUCUCACCUCGGUGGUCAGCUUGUACGUCUCUCCCAGGGCCAGGCUCUUCCACUCUAUUUUCCCUAACCUUCUAAAAAUGCAGCUUGAAGUGUGUUGUAAUCUCUGGGCAAAGGCCUAGGAGUCAGUGACCUCCUUUGUUCUAACCCAGAUUUGAUAUGGGAUCAACAGUGAGUCAUUAGCCCUUUUCUCACAUCUCAGUUUCCUCUAGGAAACAGGAUCUGUCAUUCUUUCAUAUCUUUAUAUAUGAAAGAUGCUGUGACUGGGUUACAUCAGCAUCCCUUCACCAGGGAGAAGGCAUCGUUCAAAAAGUGCAGCUCCUUGAGUAGACCCCAGGGGUCGCUGUGGAGACACAGAAGGCUCCCGGAGCCUCUGCCAGGUCAGCUGGUCCCCAUCUACCCCUCCAGCUUCACAAAACCCAGCCUCCAUCCAGUGGGGACUCCUCAGGAGAGGAGACCAGCCUCCCUUGGCAACAAAGACAGCCCAACUGCUUCAGUUACAACCAGUAUAUCUCUUUGAGGAGUUUUCCUAAACUUUGAAUAGUAAAAGAAAGAAAAGAGAGAAGAUCCUGGAAGAGAAUGUAGCCUAAAGUUAAAUGCGACCACAAUUAGGCACUAGAGUUAGUACAAGCAAUGAUGCAAUACAAGUGGGGGAAUUAAAGUUGGGUCUGCUGUGUAUUAAUAACUCAGUCAUUGGGGAAGUCUAGGGAAGGGGUUCAAGUCUGUUUCUCUCUCUCUCUGUGUCCCUCUUUCUCACACACACACAGAGAAUCCUCUCUCUCUCUCUCUCUGUGUGUGUGUGUGUGUGUGUGUGUGUGUGUGUGUGUGUGUGUGUCUCUCUUUCUCACACAUCCACAGAGAAUCUGAAAAAUAAAAUCCCUAUCACUUUGCUGUAUACCUGAAACUAACACAAUAUUGUAAAUCAACUAUAGUGCAAUUUAAGAAACAGAAAAAAAAAUCCCUGAACAUCAAGCAAAACUAGUACUAUGUUCCAGCAACUGCUAAUAUUUUCCUUCAUCGGGCAAUUGGUUGAUAGUCCAGCAAUGUGUACACAGAAAGAUAUAUCCAUGAAUAGAAGGUUAAGUUGCAUCCCCCCGAAACCAUAGUGCUAUUGGGUAUUCUUUCUAUCGUCCUCAAUUUCACUUGGAAAAUUACAGGGGAAAUAGAAAAAGAGAUUGCAUGGUAUUAAAUGUUUAGCAUUUAUGUGAAACAAUUACAAAGGAAACCUCACCGUAAUGUCUCAGGCUGUAUAUUUUAGUUUAUCUAAUUCACUACGACAGAGUAAACCAACAUGAUUAUUUACUUUUUUCUGUUGCCGAGCUCGGAGAUUCCACUCUUCCUUAACAUGAGCUGCUUAUUUUCCUUGCAAGGAAAAUCCACAGUAAUCCCUCACUUCUUUUUUCUCUGUCUUGACUAACAUCACAUUGCUGCUGACUGAAGUUACAGAUGGGUGGAGCGACACCCUUACUUAAGCUAAAUGCAUGGGAACUUUUGAUGCCUCUAAUUUAGGCCCUUUAAGAUCGUAACAAUAAAGUAGACACCAUACCAGAGAGCCAAAUUAAUAGUCCCACUUACUUUAGAAAACUUUCUGAUUAUCUUUCUAUUCCAUGUUAAUGUCCUUUUGAUGAUAAAGGUGUUUUACUUUCAGAUUAUUGCUUUGGAAAUGGUACUACUAGCAGAAUUCAGCAACUGCAAAUAAAUCCCAGGGUUACCGGCUUUCUCCACGUGGGGAUUACUGACAUUUGGAGCUGGAUAAUUCUUUGAUGUAUGGGGGUGGCGGGUGGAAAAGGGACCUUUCCUGUGCAUUCUAGAAUGGGGAGCAACACCCCUGGCCCUUCCACUCCCAGUCACGACAACCCAAAAUGUCUCCAGACGUUGCCAAAUAUUCCCUGAGGGUGUGUGGGCGGGGGAAGGGACAAAAUCACCACAGUUAGAACCACAGCACGUGCCUGAUCUGUUACAUGGAAAAGAGAGGGGAAAGAAAGAAAAUAAAACUUUUUGUCUCUUCCUUUUUUUCUGACUGCCGAAGGGUCUACAUAUUUUAAUUGUUUAUCAUUUGGAUUCUUACUCUGUUAUGUGGAAUCACUCUUUCUAAACUUCUAAAGCCCUGUACAGUGUCUUUUGAAAAGAUGUGCUUGAAGUUCAAGUGGAUUAUCAAAAGGACGAGAAGUCCACUAAUUCCCACUGGGUAAAGUAUGGGUAAACCUUAGCAUAACUCCACUUUGAGCCUUAAACUAACAGCAUGUGAAAAGAUCAAUACGAAUAAAUUCAAAACUAAUCAGAUCCCUUCUUCAAAUGUUGACACAGUAUUAUUUAUAUCCCAUAAAUACCUUCUUGACUAAAAUUCAUCCUAGGAGAUUGGCACCUGGCCAGUUCUAUUCAUAUUUACUGUAUUUAUAUAGUACGCUGGGCCAAGGAUAAUAUUUAAGACAAAAAAUGCCUGCAGGCAUAUAUAAUAUCUCUUAUAUUUUUACUUUUAAAACUCCACAUUGCUAAAAACAUUUCGUCUGAACUGUAUAAAAUGUCCUGCAAAGGGCUACCAACAAUCUGUAACGAUAUAUAGCUCAUUGAGUAUGCUUAGAGCAUAUUUGUAAUAUUUGAGCUGAAGUCACUCCCUGAACGCUAAUAAGUUGGUGGUAAAACAUGAACCAGUGAUCUUUCCCAUGCCUUCAUCUCUGAGGCUUAUGACCUACUGCGGAUUCCCUUCAAGAAAUGACAGGCACACUUCCUCCCCACCAUCGCUUCAGGGAGGACCUAGUUAAAAGUUAGGCAGAAAGGUCCUAAAGAGGUCCUUUUCCUAAAGGAAAGCUGGUAUGUAAGCCAAUGCUGUCCUUUCAGUUUGCCCUUUAAAAAUAUGGUGGAGUGAUUUUUUUUUUUCUUUUCUUCCUUUUUUUUGGAAGGGUUCACUAUAUUCCAGUAUAACUAGAAAGUACUGGAAAAUCAGUUAACCUACUUUCUAUAAAAUUAUCCACAGUCCUAGCACAGUAGUAUCAAAUCUGCUAUUAAUAAGCCUUUCUACUCCUAAGCUUCCUUUAAGGCUUUAAGAAGCCUGUACUCUUUGUAGGAAGACUGAUCGUUUACAUUUUAUCCUGCACUGAUCAGAGGCUUUCAUUUCUUUGGUAGCUGGGAGAGGAAGCAGAAAGGAAUCCACACACCCACCUGACAUGCCAACCUCUGAAAUCCUAAUAACUUGAGAAUUUUUUCCAAUUUGGUGAUGAUGAUAAUCUUGCAUGAGAUCACCUCGGUUCUUUAGACUGAAGAGUGCUUGAAAGACCAAAGAAUGAACACCCUCUUGGGUAAUCUGCUCUCUCCACACCUAUCUCAUGAAGGGAUCAGACCUCCUCUCUGUUAUGAAAGUGCCAGCAAUUCAUGAGAGCUGUUGCAGGAUCUCCUGCCUCAGCUCUGCUCUUAAACCAGAAGAGGUGAUGCUGCAGCCAAACAGAGGUCGCCAGGAAGCCUGGGGUUGGAUACUUCAGCUGACAAUCUGAGACCAUCAAAUACAAGACAUGGCAAGCCCCGGAACUACGACUUGUCAAACUAAAUAUAAAUAUUCAACAAGAAAAGCACCACCCUGCAAUUAGGACCUCUAGGAUAAAAUUACCAAGAUGGCCAUAUUAUCUCUGUAGGCAAGACACAGAGACGUUGUGAAGGCAGCCAGGGAGUAUAUAGGGCAUGGAAAGGGGAGGAGAGAGAUGGGCAACCAAUGAAAAGUGUACGACUUGGGAUUUGGAAUAGGCAAAUGUUGGAGCUCUUUUUUUUUUUUUCUUUUUCUUCUUCCUGGUAUUUAACCCUCUCAGGUAUCAAUAUAUGCUUCUUCUUCUUUUCUUUUUUUAAAGAACUUGGAAAUCAUUCUAAGCUAACUGCCCUCUUCCCUUCCCCUCAAAGAACUCUUAACAAUAAAUCAUUCACUCCCGUUGCUACUGUAUGCCAGCUGGUUUUCAGGACACUGCCCUCAGAGAAGCCAGUUUAAAAAAAAAAAAAAAAUCGGCUGUCUUCUACGCUGAGAUUUAGGAAUGCAACGAAGUGACUGCAGGAACCCUAUGAAAGGGCAAGGAACACCGGGCUCAAGAGUGAGAAAGAUAAACGAUAAACGCAUAAGAAAAAGGAUCUGCUACACCGGCGAUUUUAAGAAGGCAGGUUUGAGUGAAUUGUGAAAAAAAAUAACGUGAAGGAAAAACCCUUUUAAACGUAGUCAGCAACGAAACUGUCCUUUCUACCAUUCCAGGUGAAAUCAAAAGGGGACGUGGUUACAAGAUCUCGCCUUGGGGGGCAUGUAAACACCUCGCCGAGGCAGUAGAUUCAAGAAUUGAGGGGUUGGAGGUAGGUUUUUGGAGGGGUCUCCAGAUCGGGUUUUGUCUUGGCGAUGCUGACAUUUUUCGGGGAGUUAGAGACAAUAGGGAAGGCUUGGGGAGUCAGCUGAUAGGUCGGCACGGAAAGGGGCGCCUUCCGGAGAGGCUAGUUUUGAGCCACUUUUUUUUUUUUUUAACCCCUCGUGCACCAAUUCGGCGGGCUUCAGGCCAAUCGGAGCAAAGAAAACAAACCCACCAAGGUUUCCCGGUUUAACGCGGCCCCAGGGAGCGCCUCCGAGUUUGACAGAGGAGGGCUGACUCCUAGCCGGUGGCCGAGUCGAGAAUUCCAGGGAAGAGAAAAAAAGAGAAAAACGCCUUAUAAAAGACGGGGGCGCUGGGGGAAGGGAGAAAUGGAGAAAAUUAAAAGUCGCAAGUCCGCGUUUUAAAGCCUAACGUCCUCAAGCACACGACUGGUGGGUGGGACGGAGGACCGGAGCAGGGGAAGGAGGGAGCUGGGACCCGGAGAGGGCAGGGCGAUCCCUGGAGUGGCUGCGGUUCUGGAAGCCUCGGGCAGCGCUAAGCCCCGGGGAGUGGGAGCGGGGAGCGGU